rnacentral:rRNA from 1 species
CACGUAGGGGGCGAGCGUUGUCCGGAAUCAUUGGGCGUAAAGCGCGUGUAGGCGGCCCGGUAAGUCCGCUGUGAAAGUCGGGGGCUCAACCCUCGGAUGCCGGUGGAUACUGUCGGGCUCGAGUACGGAAGAGGCGAGUGGAAUUCCUGGUGUAGCGGUGAAAUGCGCAGAUAUCAGGAAGAACACCCGUGGCGAAGGCGGCUCUCUGGGACGGUACUGACGCUGAGACGCGAAAGCGUGGGGAGCGAACAGG